UCCAGUUCGCCAUGGCCGUGGAUGGCCACCACGUCGCCCCCCCGGCCUAUAUAACAUGUCCCCCGAAAACCCUAGCUCACCCUUGACCAGUACCCCCCUCGAUCCCCCUUCGCCCCUCUCCUUUUCGCCUCAAUUUCGAACUCAGAUUUGGUGCGGUGACCGCUUCCUCACCGUCGUUACCAUGGCCACCGUCGUCGCCGUCGCUUCGGAGCACGUCUACGAGGUCCACCACGGUCAUCUUCGUCCGUCCCGGGCUCUAGCUCAAGUCGGGGCGGCCUGUACCCUCGCCAUCGCCAUCAUCUGCAUCGUGUACAUCGCUGGUGUUUGUCGUCGAUUCUCAUCGUUCAAGUCCACCCCGACCCUCUCCGACCUCGUCCUCGGCUCCGCGAUAAAUCUGCUUGCAAGGCUCUCGAUGAUAUAUCCAUUUUCAUCAAUUGCUCAAGGGUGUGGUCAGUUGGAGAAGACAUUACUAUGAUUUUUUUUCAGAGGAUGGCGAAGGAGGUGCAGGGAGCUGACGGCAUAUCCGCGGUGAGUGGUGAUGGAGGAACAGCCGCACACUUGAUGGCUUGGUGCAGGGCGGUGAGGGCGCCGACCAGGAAGGCCAUGCCAUUGCCGGGCGUCGAGGUUGUAGUCCCGGAAGCCGACGAUGCUUCCGUGCGGCGAGGGGAUAAGCCUGGGGAUCUGUUGCUUAUUUUAUGGGAUAUAUGUUAUGUUUUUCUUUGCAUGGCCUGCGUGGUGCGUGAUUGUAGGGGUUUUGGUCGAGCCCGCGUGGAGUCUAUGAUGCGGUGGGGCGGUGGAGCAUGGUCAGUCAACCUUAAUUGUUGGGUGCACACCAGAGACACAUGAGAUAAAGGCUAUGCGUUGGAUUGAGAUUAGUGGGUCUAAUCAUGGGGUUGUAAUGGGUCUGUGUAUGUUUUGUGGGGUGCGUUUAGUGAAGUUCUUGUUGGAUUGUUUAA